rnacentral:rRNA from 1 species
GUACACGCUGUGACUAGCAUAUCAAUAAGCGGAGGAAAAGAGGGCUAGUACCUAGCUUAGGAUGUUGACACACGCGCGUGCUCGAGUCUAUACAUGACUCUGCGCAUAUCAAUAAGCGGAGGAAAAGUAAAUGCUGUAUACCUACGCUUAGGAUGUUGACACACGCGCGUGCUCGACUCUAUACAUGACUCUGUGCAUAUCAAUAAGCGGAGGAAAAGGUUGCGGAACUGAACGACCGCUACCUACGCUUAGGAUGUUGACACACGCGCGUGCUCGAUGAUAGUCUAUACAUGACUCUGUGCAUAUCAAUAAGCGGAGGAAAAGCAUAACAUGUAUACCUACGCUUAGGAUGUUGACACACGCGCGUGCUCGACUCUAUACAUGACUCUGUGCAUAUCAAUAAGCGGAGGAAAAGGUACCUACGCUUAGGAUGUUGACACACGCGCGUGCUCGACUCUAUACAUGACUCUGCGCAUAUCAAUAAGCGGAGGAAAAGGCUGCGGAACUGAACGACCGCUACCUACGCUUAGGAUGUUGACGCGCGUGUGUGCGUGAGUCUAUACAUGACUCUGCGCAUAUCAAUAAGCGGAGGAAAAGAAACUAACAAGGAUUCCCCUAGUAACGGCGAGUGAAGCGGGAAGAGCUCAAAUUUGAAAUCUUAAAGGGUUUCCCUUUACGAAUUGUAGUUUAAAGAAGUGUUUUCUGUUGAGGUUUUGGUAAAAGUUCUUUGGAAUAGGACAUCAUAGAGGGUGAGAAUCCCGUAUUUGACCUUUACUUUCAACUUUGUGAUACACUUUCAAAGAGUCGGAUUGUUUGGGAAUGCAGUCCAAAAUGGGUGGUAAAUUUCAUCUAAAGCUAAAUAUUGGCGAGAGACCGAUAGCGAACAGGUACCGUGAGGGAAAGAUGAAAAGAACUUUGAAAAGAGAGUUAAACAGUACGUGAAAUUGUCAAAAGGGAAGCGUUUGACACCAGUGUUGUUUUUCUGAAAAUCAAUUAAAGAACUGUUUAUGCUAAGCUGUUUAGACUUUAUCAGCUAUCUGUUUAGUUUUGAGCUUUUCUUUAAUGCACUUUUCAGUUAACAAGUCAACAUCAAUUUCUUUUGCUGUAAAAAAGCUUGAGGAAGGUGGCUUGAGAUUCGUCUUAAGUGUUUAUAGCCUCUUGCCUAUGCAGUCGGAGAGAUUGAGGUCUGCAGCGUAGAUCCUUCGGGGCUAAAUGCAUUUGUGCUAAGUUAUAGCAUUUUAUAGACAACUUGUUGACUAUGAUUUGUCUUGUAGCUUACUCGCUUAUGUUAUUUUACCUACGCUUAGGAUGUUGAUCUACAGAGCGAGAGU